UAUCAAUUUUACCUUGCGGCAGAUAAAUAUCCAUUAAUCCGAUAAAGAAUUUAUCAAGUCUCAAAGGGAGAGUUAACCCUCCCUUCAAAAUUGAGUGCCCAGGUGUAAAUGGAUUAAUAAGAGCGAGCACAUGCAGUCAGACUGCCAGCAUCAACCCUCAGUAAUUCGUUAAUGAUCCUUCCGCAGGUUCACCUACGGAAA
rnacentral:misc_RNA from 1 species